rnacentral:rRNA from 1 species
CCUACGGGUGGCUGCAGUGGGGAAUAUUGCACAAUGGGCGCAAGCCUGAUGCAGCCAUGCCGCGUGUGUGAAGAAGGCCUUCGGGUUGUAAAGCACUUUCAGCGGGGAGGAAGGCGGUGAGGUUAAUAACCUCAUCGAUUUACGUUACCCGCAGAAGAAGCACCGGCUAACUCCGUGCCAGCAGCCGCGGUAAUACGGAGGGUGCAAGCGUUAAUCGGAAUGACUGGGCGUAAAGCGCACGCAGGCGGUCUGUCAAGUCGGAUGUGAAAUCCCCGGGCUCAACCUGGGAACUGCAUUCGAAACUGGCGGGCUAGAGUCUUGUAGAGGGGGGUAGAAUUCCAGGUGUAGCGGUGAAAUGCGUAGAGAUCUGGAGGAAUACCGGUGGCGAAGGCGGCCCCCUGGACAAAGACUGACGCUCAGGUGCGAAAGCGUGGGGAGCAAACAGGAUUAGAUACCCUAGUAGUC